UUCCCUGUAGCUCAGAUGGUAAAGAAUCUGCCUGCAACGCAGAACACCCAGGUUCGACCCCUGGGUUGGAAA
rnacentral:tRNA from 1 species